GGGGGAUGUACCCAAGGGAAUUAAGGCAGGGAAUUGGAAACCC
rnacentral:tRNA from 1 species